rnacentral:rRNA from 1 species
CCUACGGGGGGCAGCAGUAGGGAAUAUUGCUCAAUGGGGGAAACCCUGAAGCAGCAACGCCGCGUGGAGGCUGAAGGUUUUCGGAUUGUAAACUCCUUUUGUUAGAGAAGAUAAUGACGGUAUCUAACGAAUAAGCACCGGCUAACUCCGUGCCAGCAGCCGCGGUAAUACGGAGGGUGCAAGCGUUACUCGGAAUCACUGGGCGUAAAGCGCGCGUAGGCGGGAUAGCAAGUCAGAUGUGAAAUCCUAUGGCUUAACCAUAGAACUGCAUUUGAAACUGUUAUUCUAGAGUAUGGGAGAGGUAGGUGGAAUUCUUGGUGUAGGGGUAAAAUCCGUAGAGAUCAAGAGGAAUACUCAUUGCGAAGGCGACCUGCUAGAACAUAACUGACGCUGAUGCGCGAAAGCAUGGGGAGCAAACAGGAUUAGAUACCCGGGUAGUC